rnacentral:rRNA from 1 species
GGGAAUUUUGGACAAUGGGGGCAACCCUGAUCCAGCCAUUCCGCGUGAGUGAAGAAGGCCUUCGGGUUGUAAAGCUCUUUCAGCUGAAACGAAACGGUGCGCUCUAACAUAGCGCGCUACUGACGGUACCAGCAGAAGAAGCACCGGCUAACUACGUGCCAGCAGCCGCGGUAAUACGUAGGGUGCGAGCGUUAAUCGGAAUUACUGGGCGUAAAGCGUGCGCAGGCGGUUUUGUAAGACAGAUGUGAAAUCCCCGGGCUUAACCUGGGAACUGCGUUUGUGACUGCAAGGCUGGAGUACGGCAGAGGGGGGUGGAAUUCCACGUGUAGCAGUGAAAUGCGUAGAGAUGUGGAGGAACACCGAUGGCGAAGGCAGCCCCCUGGGCCUGUACUGACGCUCAUGCACGAAAGCGUGGGGAGCAAACA